rnacentral:rRNA from 1 species
GAUGAACGCUGGCGGCGUGCCUAAUACAUGCAAGUCGAGCGAACGGACGAUAAGCUUUCUUUUCUGAUGUUAGCGGCGGACGGGUGAGUAACACGUGGAUAACCUACUUAUUAUACUUGGAUAACUUCGGGAAACCGGAGCUAGUACCGGCUAAUAUUUUCAACCGCAUGGUUCAAAAGUUAAUGACGCUCUUGCUGUCACUUAUAGAUGGAUUCGCGCUGGAUUAGCUAGUUGGUAAGGUAACGGCUUACCAAGGCAACGAUGCGUAGCCGAUCUGAGAGGAUGAUCGGCCACACUGGAACUGAGACACGGUCCAGACUCCUACGGGAGGCAGCAGUAGGGAAUAUUGGGCAAUGGGCGAAAGCCUGACGGAGCAACGCCGCGUGAGUGAUGAAGGUCUUCGGAUCGUAAAACUCUGUUAUUAGGGAAGAACAGAUGUGUAAGUAAAUGUGGACAUCUUGACGGUACCUAAUCAGAAAGCAACGGCUAACUACGUG